GUGGGGUGACUGCGUACCUUUUGUAUAAUGGGUCAGCGACUUAUAUUCUGUAGCAAGGUUAACCGAAUAGGGGAGCCGGAGGGAAACCGAGUCUUAAUUGGGCGUUAAGUUGCAGGGUAUAGACCCGAAACCCGGUGAUCUAGCCAUGGGCAGGUUGAAGGUUGGGUAACACUAACUGGAGGACCGAACCGACUAAUGUUGAAAAAUUAGCGGAUGACCUGUGGCUGGGGGUGAAAGGCCAAUCAAACCGGGAGAUAGCUGGUUCUCCCCGAAAGCUAUUUAGGUAGCGCCUCGUGAACU
rnacentral:rRNA from 1 species